GACGAACGCUGGCGGCGUGCUUAACACAUGCAAGUCGAACGGAAAGGCCCUGCUUUUGUGGGGUGCUCGAGUGGCGAACGGGUGAGUAACACGUGAGUAACCUGCCCUUGACUUUGGGAUAACUUCAGGAAACUGGGGCUAAUACCGGAUAGGAGCUCCUGCUGCAUGGUGGGGGUUGGAAAGUUUCGGCGGUUGGGGAUGGACGCGCGGCUUAUCAGCUUGUUGGUGGGGUAGUGGCUUACCAAGGCUUUGACGGGUAGCCGGCCUGGGAGGGUGACCGGCCACAUUGGGACUGAGAUACGGCCCAGACUCCUACGGGAGGCAGCAGUGGGGAAUAUUGCACAAUGGGCGGAAGCCUGAUGCAGCAACGCCGCGGGCGGGAUGACGGCCUUCGGGUUGUAAACCGCUUUCGCCUGUGACGAAGCGUGAGUGACGGUAAUGGGUAAAGAAGCACCGGCUAACUACGUG
rnacentral:rRNA from 1 species